CCCCUGAUUUUUUAUAUAUUAUUAUUGGGCUUCGUGUAGGUAUCCUCAAUUCGCGGAAAUUCGACAGUUGUCCGGAUCUGUGAAUUUCCGGCCAGACAGACCAGCUACCGGAAAAGUCUCCGAAUUGGAUCGAGGUUUUGGCUACCCCACCAUUGUCAGGCAUCCCGAGCGCGUUCCCGAAGUCGGAAUCGGCAAAGGUGAGCCGGGACAGCCUUCUUCCUCCGCCCAGCCGCCACAGUAAUUUGUCGUCAAGUCUGCCACAGGAGGAUAUUUUGUUCUGGGUUAACCUGCCUUUUUACCUCGCAGGUUGUUUAUCAAUAUUGUGUAAUUUUAAUUACUCCUAGAAUUUCCGCAUGUGUUAGCG